UACGGAGGGGGCGAGCGUUGUUCGGAGUCACUGGGCGUAAAGCGCGCGUAGGUGGCUUGAUAAGCCGGUUGUGAAAGCCCCGGGCUCAACCUGGGAACGGCAUCCGGAACUGUCAAGCUAGAGUGCAGGAGAGGAAGGUAGAAUUCCCGGUGUAGCGGUGAAAUGCGUAGAGAUCGGGAGGAAUACCAGUGGCGAAGGCGGCCUUCUGGACUGACACUGACGCUGAGGUGCGAAAGCGUGGGUAGCAAACAGG
rnacentral:rRNA from 1 species